ensembl:lncRNA
GUCAACUCAAAUGCAAUUAAAUUAAAGAGAGCUAAAUUCCAUUUUUAGUGUUCACAUCAAUUAGUAGAUCAAGUUAAAGACAGGUAGACACAUCUAGGAGCUUAUUUUGAUCUGCAAACUCAUGUCAAGGUUGCAGACUGUCUGGAAUCGAGUGUUACUUUGUUAUUUAACUUGCCUUCAUAACUCAAAGUGAAAACUUAAGUCUCAUUCUUGCAAAUACAAGAGACUAUUGUUGCUGAUCUCCACCCUCUAGAGUCUGAUAUCCCUCAGUCAACAGGGUUGAAAUUCUGGCCUUGCUGAAAUUGAUGACAAAACUAUUAACAUCCAUGGGGCCAGAAUGUAACUUGAAGAAUCUUUCUCAAACCAGAAAAGUCCUUCUAUGUUCAAGAAACUUUUAGACUGUGACCAGCUAUGUGGCAGACUUCUGUUAACUCUGGGGUGAUUUACAGCAACAAAAAUGUCUGCAAGAUGCGCUUUGCUGAAGCGUGCAGCAGGAGUGCUCAGCAUGCAGGAGUGCCAUUCAUUGUAGUCAGACACACUCUUUGAAAUCAUAUGCUCCCAGCAGAUUAGUAAGAGUUUUAAUCUCAAAAGACAAAUCUGCCCCACCAUUGAAUUCAUGGAGAGCUGCAUUCCUCACGCAUGAGUAUAUGAAAACCUUGUUGUCCCGGCUGCACUGCUAAGGACUUCACAGGGCAAUGUGUGUGUCCUCCUCACAAAGACAUUGUGCCAAACCAGAGCUUUCAUUUUUUCUCAAUUCAGAAUAAAAUUAUCAGGGUUUUGGUCCUGCACAGGCACACUUGUCCAGCAAGAGUAGACAAGAACCAGAAAUUUUUAGGAGCAGAAAGUGGCAACGGCAGAUAAUCACUGUUGAGAUAAAAAUUCUCAGCAACGCUCAACUCGCAGGAGAAUAAACUGGAAGUUUUGAUAAACAGCCCUCGCUCUGCUUUGAUGCCUGCCCACACAAAGCCACUGUUUUCUGUAAAACAUUUUGCCCUUGUUUGCUUCUAAUGUAAAUUUGAGGUCACUUGGUAGAAAUGCAACACCAUAGGGAGAUAUGAACACUCAUGGAAUUAGUGAAUGCUUGAAAAGGUAAAAUUCCUAUCCUUGCUGUAGUGAUUAUGAAUACCAGAUUUUUUGUCGUGUUUUUCUCUCUCCAUCUCUCUCUUUUUUUGUUGUAUAUAUAGCCAGUGAUAUUAAUGGCACUCUCGUGUCAGACUUAUUUUUCUAAAUGAAUACUAAGAAUGUUUAAGAGUUCACAUAAUCCAUCUCUAGAAAGGAUAUUUAGCUAAUCUUUCUCAUUUAAUAUACACACAAAAAACUAGACAGGUUUUCACCCAUAAACCUCUGUGGCAUAAAAUGAACAACAGCAACUUUGCCAGCAGUCCAUUUUUAUAAAUAUUCUGCUCAAACAUUUUAGACACGUUCUUUUUCUGGAACUUUAAUAUUCUGGAGGUGAUAAGCUUACACCUUGGAAGCAGCUGACAGUUUGUAAACUCAAGUGAUGAUGACUGCAGAAGCCAAAAUAUUUCUUGUCGUAAUACAUCAGGUCAACUCAUAAGAUGAUCUUGUUUGUUUGCAUUUCAAUGAGUUGCUAGUUGAGUGAUUUACACCAGCUGUUUCAAAAAGCAGGAUACAAGCGAUGUCCCGUGUAAUGAUGAGCUGAUGCUGGUUAAAACAUGGCCUUAGUGAUACGUGCUUAUUUGCUCACUUCUUCCACUUUUAUUUUGGUGGAAAGAUGUUCAGUUAAUUUUUUUUCUUUUGGUUUCUUUAUGAUUCUUCUCUUGCUGGCUUGGCCCAGUGCAAAGAACAUAGUUCAUAAGAGUAUAUAGAAAGAGCUAUUUUUGUGGUAUUACUGCCCUGCUAGCCCUAAUUAUCAUUAUGUCUCUUGAGAAAUAAGUGGUUCUAAUAGUCCUGGGCUUUUCCUAUCCAUGCUGCUUCUUCAGAAGAUAAUUGCUGUCUAUUUCAAACCUUUUCCCUGGCAGAGUAAGGAACGGUCAUGUCCUGUCUCCUCUCUUGCCUCUCUCCCCACCAUGCAUUAAUUUCUCUACAAAAAAUCUAAUAUAGCUCAUCUCUGCUUCUCACUGCAGGCUUCCCUGGCAACAACAACAGCUGAAAAACUUGUGUUUUCCUUUUUUAUAUACAUUUGCAGAUCUGUGAUAAGAAACAACAAAGUCAAAGGGUUCGAAAGUAAAAGUAUAGAAUGAAUUAGAUGUAAAUCUAUCCAAUAGCAAUGGUAUUUCAAAGAGUGUGUCUCAGCACUGCUUGCUGCCAGGCAGUUCAGAGAGAGCAGGAGAAUACCUACGCAUUUGGGCUCUCACGCUCUUUGACCUCCGACUACAGUCUAUCAAGUAUUUUAAAGCACUUAUUAUACCUCUAGUUAUAUUUCCAUAAAAUAUAGAAAUAUUUUCUUUGGGAAGACCAAAGCCUUAUAAACACACCGGGAAGAGCAACGUACAGCAAACAAUAACACAUAUGCUCUGAUCCUUCACUUGUUCCGUCCUGGUCCUCAGCAAGUCCUACAGUUGUGUGACAGAAAGGAGCACUCACGUCGCACAGGGAGGAAACAGCUGGUCUCUGGAUUUCCAGCGGGUAAACACAUAUGUCUUGAAUUAUUGUUCUGGAGCACAUGGGACGUGGAAAAAGAGCCUGGAUUUGUCCCCGAGCAUGGGAUCUACUACGACCUCCUGAUAAAGAAAAAAAAAAAUCCAUCAGUUUGAAGAUUUGUAUCCUGACACAAGGAUUUGUAUUCUGGCCAUCCAUUAGUCUUAGCCUAUCUGGUUCAUCCCAUUUGCAGAACCUACAAUUUUGUGGACUCUGAUGUGCUCUUUCUGAUAGACAGACACAGAAGGGUAACCCGGAGGUGCAGGCAUCUACUUAUACGCCGUAUGGAUGCAUUUUGAUAAUAACCACACGAGGGCAGAAAAGAACAGACAUCUGCGGACAGCCAGACGGCAGCCUGAUUUAAGAGAAGCGUCAAGUUCUGAUAUUUUUGUAAGGGAUUUUCUAUAUUUAUCCAUUCAAACGCACACACAUCUGGAAUUAUUUAAAUAUAAAUAUAUCGAUAGAACACAUGUACACAGUGAAUAUAUAUUUAUAGUGUGCAUUUGUAAAUAUGUAUUUCUGGCAAGUAUGAGGAAAAUCGGUUUGGUUUUAAUUUUGGAUUGGCCUCAGUAAGGAUCUGAGAAUAACAGAGGCAUAAAAACAACUGAACCAUAUUUCCCUCUCAUUAACAUAAGCUGACAGUGCUUUCUUCAGUCUUUACUACUGUACAGGUAGGAGGCUGCGAUUAAGCAAGACAAGGAUCAAACUCUGAAAUGGGGAGACCCAUACAAUCAUAAGGGUUUCCAUGAUCAGGGACACCCCCAUUUUACGAGCUUCAGAUGUCCUGUACUGAGCAACUGGAAGAAGCGAGUUUUGGUCAUAUAAAGCACAAGUCAAAAAAACGAACUUUGUUAUUACUAAUCUACACAGUUACACUGAAUACAUGGUGCAUACCAGUAUUUAAAAUCUCCCAGCCUCACUAAAUCAAAGUGAUCUCAGAUAUGCAAUACAUUUUUAUAGGCAGCCUUGUAAAAAUUAUUCGUCAUGCUUGUAUGUCUGGAAUGUGUCAACAACACUGCAGGCACUGAACCAGCUGAUAGUAAUUACUGGGGGGGGGGGGGGGGGGAGAAGAAAAGAAAAAGAAUUAGGAGCAAAAUUAACAACUGAAUUAUAUGAGGAAAAUUAAAAGAAGCUUAAUUGAGCAGAAGACCGAAAGCCACUUCCCCAGAAAUCCUAUCCCAGCUUACCAUCUUAUUCCUUGUACAGUGCCAAAUAAACCUAACGUUUCUGUUUCUCGUUGUUUCGAGGAUUAAUUAGUGGCACAACAAUUGGGAAACAAAUAAAAUAACAGAAAAUGCAAAGCAUUGUUAUCAUGAGCUUGAAGGUCCCUGAUCUGAUGUGGGUGCACAAGUGGAUGGCCUCUGCAUUGCGAACUACAUAGAAGCAAUACUUUAAAGGUGGUUGAUUUCUGCUUACCAUUACAUACUUAAAAUGAGGAGAAAAUAAUUGUAAUUAAAGUUUAAAUUAUGUUAUGAUGAAAUUCAAGACACAACUUGUGCUGGUUAAGCACCUCCUACCUUCUAUUGCUCUGUGGGGCACACUUCAUAGCUCGUUACUGAAGGGCAGCUGCAACACAAACAGCAAGAGCCCACCAGUGCUACAGAUGCUGCAGUACCUGUGAGUAACAACAGCUCGAUCACCACAAAUACUUAAUUACACAACUGAAGGAGAGAGAACAUGGUGCAAAUAUCAGCAACCUGAUGCUAAGCUGUGUUUUCUUUAGUGCUUAUUGCAAGCGAGAGUAACACGGUAUGUCGGCGCUCACUGGGCCGAGGGUCUGAGCCUCCGGCCUGGAUGACACAUUGCAGUACAGCACCCAGUACCUCUCCUCAUCCCCUGGUUUAAGCAUGAGGAGGACCAACAUUUCACACAGUCUAAUAGUGACAGGAUACAUGAGAAUGGCUUUAAACUGAAAGAGGGGAAUCUUAAGUUACAUGUUCAGGAGUUUUUUACUCAGAGGGAGGUGAGGCCCUGGCAUAGGCUGUCCAGAGAAGCUGCAGCUGCCCCAUCCCUGCAGGCAUUCAGAGACCAGGCCAGAUGGAGUCCUGAGCAGCCUGGUCUGCUGGGGCAGCCCUGCCCACAGCAUAGAGUUGGGACUGGAUGGUCUUUAAGGUCCCUUCCAACCCAAGCCAUUGUGGGAUUCUGCAGGGAGAAAAGCAGCACUCCUGGCAUGCCCCAGUGACACCCAGAAUGGGGCACUGGGAUUGCAGCGGGUGCCCUCAGAUGUCUGCAUGCAGAACCUAGAUGUAGCCUGCACUACUCAAAGCAAUCCAGCAGUUUGCUUUUCCCUUUUUUUUUUCUUUUUUCCUCCAUGGUUAGCUGCUCAGAAGAAAUACAGCUGAAGCAUGGUUUGUGCCAGCUUUGCUGGAGACAAGCAGCCCUGUGCAAGAGAAGCAUUUCUUUCUCUCCCUCUUAUUUUCUGCACUCA